CGACAAUACGGUAAAAUUGACACCGAAAGGCUCAAAGCAGAUUGUAAUAACAUUAAAUUCAGCGAAUACAUUUUUUAAACAGAAUCGGUUACUUUUUUACGAUGAAAUUGUGUCCAACGUGUCCAGUUGUAUAGAAAAGAUCAAAGGAUUUAGCCAAGGCUUAACGGGGACUGAGUCAUUGUCAUAUAUGAAGGUUUUUUGGUUCAGCAUGUUCAGGGAUUUGUGGAAAAGUACACCAAACAGAGGAAGUGGGUGGAAAUGGUGACACAACACUCCGACCUUGUAGGCGAACUAACCAGAAUAGCCACAGAAAACAGUCUGUUCGAGACUUCGCUUCUGGAACAGGACAUUAUUGCAUCAAAAUUAGAUUUCUCUCAAGUUAUGCAAAAAGUUGGAAAUUUGUUUGCCGAUUGUCCGAAUGUGACUGCCUUGGACACAAUUCGACUGUCGUUGUUGUGUUUGAUCAGAUUUCCUGAGGCUGCCAACUACAAACUCGACAUAUUCAACAAACAUUUACUCAAGUUGAACGUCUCUCCUCAAAUGUAUCAAAUUCCGCAGUCAUUUCAACGUUUUUUGAGCAAAAAGUCGAGUAAUCGGGCUGA